CCGGGCAUGGUGACAUGAACCUGUGGUCCUAGCUACCUGGGAGGCUAAGGCAAGAGGAUUGCUUGAGCCCAAGAGUUUAAGUUCGCAGUGAGCUAUGAUCAGACCGAGAGGUGAAGCCAGCUGAAUUUCUGGGUCAGGUAGGGACUUGGAGAACUGUUCUGUCCUAUAAGAGGAUUGUAAAAUGCACCAAUCAGCACUCUGUGGCUUGCUAGAGGUUUGUAAAAUAUGCCAAUCAGUGCUCUGUAAAAACGCACCAAUCAGCGCUCUGUGGCUAGCUAGAGGUUUGUAAAAUGGACCAAUCAACGCUCUGUAAAAUGGACCAAUUGGCACUCAGUAAAAUGGACCAAUCAGCAGGAUGUGGGCGGGGACAAACAAGGGAAUAAAAGAUGGCCACCCCCUCCCACCCUAUCCACACCACCCGCCAGCCAGCAGCGGGAACUUGCUUGGGUCUCCUUCCACAGUGCAGUAUCUUUGUUCUUUUGCUCUUCACAGUAAAUGUUGCUGCUGCUCACUCUUUGGGUCUCUGCCACUUUUAAGAGCUGUAACACUCACCGUGAAGGUCCACAGCUUCAUUCUUGAAGUUAGCCAGACCACGAACCCACUGGAAGGAACAAACUCUGGACACAAGACCACUGCAUGCCAGCCUCAGCAGCAGAGAGAUCCCAUCUGAAAACAAAAACAUUAUUUUAAUAACAUAUCUGGCUGGGUGCAGUGGCUCACGCCUGUAAUCCCAGCACUUUGGGAAGCCAAGGCAGGGGGAUUAUCUGAAGUCAGGAGCUCAAGACCAGCCUGGCCAACAUGGUGAAACCCAGUCUCUACAAAAAUACAAAAAUUAGUUGGGCAUGAUAGUGGGUACCUAUAAUCCCAGCUACUUGGGAGGCUGAGGCAGGAGAAUUUCUUCAAUCCGGGAAGCAGAGGUUGCAGUGAGCUGAGAUCACACCAUUACACUCCAGUCUGGGCAACAGAGAGACACUUCGUCUCAAAACAAAACAAAAAAUAAUACAUCCAAAAUAUCAUUUUAAUGUGAUAAAUAUGGCCGGGCGCGGUGGCUCACGCCUGUAAUCCCAG
rnacentral:lncRNA from 10 species